rnacentral:rRNA from 1 species
CCCUUAGAUGUUCUGGGCCGCACACGCGCUACACUGAAGGAGGCAGCGUGUACUCCUGGAUCGAAAGAUUUGGGUAACCCGCGAAUCUCCUUCGUGCUAAGGAUUGAGGUUUGCAAUUAUCCUUCAUGAACGAGGAAUUCCCAGUAAGUGCAAGUCAUAAGCUUGCGCUGACUACGUCCCUGCCCUUUGUACACACCGCCCGUCGCUACUACCGAUUGAAUGAUUUAGUGAGGACUUCGGACUGGGACCGAUGCGGCUUUCGGGCUGCGUCGGUAUUCUGGAAAGAUGUCCAAACUGUAUCAUUUAGAGGAAGUAAAANUCGUAACA